rnacentral:lncRNA from 1 species
CUUGAUAGCAGCUGGAUCAUGCAGCCACACUCUACUGAGCAAGCUCACUUCUGCAGCUCUCCUGAAAAGGAGCCCAUGAAAAUCGAUCACUCUGGUCAUAAGUGCAAUUUUCCGGAUCAAUUUCCAGUUUUACAAGGAGCAGCAAUUCACAGAAAAUAGCAUUUGAGAUGAUGUCACAUAACUGACAAAGAGUAUGAAGAAGGAGAGCUCUAACCUGUGAAUGCAGUUCACCACAGGAGCAGUUUUUGCUUGCUACUGAAGUAUUCACCAAGUUAAUACUUCUGGUAAGUUUCUUAGUUUUUUGCCUUGUCAGUAUAUCCUAUCUUUGGGCAAAACAAGGCUCUAACAGAAAACCUGGACCAAGCAGCUUCUCAU